AUCAAAUUAAGUAAGAAUUAAGUGUAGUAUCUGUUCUCAUCAGUUUAAUAUCUAAUAGUGCGCUAUUAGCCCACAUGAUAUUAAUCUUAUUUUUUAGGAGGGGCCUACCAAAGUAGCUUGCUACAGGGGCUCUUGAGCCUUGCCCAUGCAUUGCACUACUGCACAGGCCUAGCGCACCCCAC
rnacentral:snRNA from 1 species